rnacentral:rRNA from 1 species
UGCCACUCUUAACGGGGUGGCUUUUCAGAAGUGUAAAAAGCUUCUGGAAUAAGGGCUGGGCAAGACCGGUGCCAGCCGCCGCGGUAACACCGGCAGCUCAAGUGGUAGCCGCUUUUAUUGGGCCUAAAGCGUCCGUAGCCGGUCUGAUAAGUCUCUGGUGAAAUCCCACAGCUUAAUUGUGGGAAUUGCUGGAGAUACUAUCAUGACUCGAGGUCGGGAGAGGCUGGAGGUACUCCCAGGGUAGGGGUGAAAUCCUGUAAUCCUGGGAGGACCACCUGUGGCGAAGGCGUCCAGCUGGAACGAACCUGACGGUGAGGGACGAAAGCCAGGGGCGCGAACCGGAUUAGAUACCCGGGUAGUCCUGGCCGUAAACGAUGUGGACUUGGUGUUGAGAUGGCUUCGAGCUGCCUCAGUGCCGAAGGGAAGCUGUUAAGUCCACCGCCUGGGAAGUACGGCCGCA